UACAAAGUAAUUGAAAAAGUAGCGUAACGUGAUUUGUUUGAGCAUAGGAGGAGUGGAAGCUUGUGGACUCGUAUAUAUGUAUGUAUACAUAUAUGCACACAUAGAUCGAUUUUGAAUUGAAAAAUUGUAACCCAAACUCCCUAUAAUAUCACACAGAAAGAGGAUGGGUGGCGCAGAGCAUGCGACUCGUCAGCGGAACUUAUAACAGCUACACAAGGGGCUCCAGGAAAACGGCUGCAUAAAUACUGCAUUCCAGACAGCAGUGGGAUUUCAAGAAACGAAAUAGCUGAUGAGAUUACCGAAAGUGCCAUCCGUCUGAUUAGCGAGACAGUACAGAAAAUAAGAAGGACGCUAAAAACGAAACAUAACCAAAUUUUCGAAAUGGCGAAUAUGCGAAUCAGGGAGAGAUGGAUUGACUUAAGAACAUACAGGAUCGCCAAGAUCAUGUGCGAGAUUUCCGAAAUAAAACACGCAAGAUUUUUUACUCACACGGUGUCGAAAGAACUGCAGAACGGUUGUUGGUCUAACUUUAGAAACUGCAGGACUGUAGGCAUGUCUAAAAUUCUCGUUUCUCGUAAAUUUCUCGGAGCUACGCAGUUCAAGCGAUUAUAAGUAAAAAGCAUCAAUGUAGUUGUUAAGCUUCUCCUUAAGUUCGCAAAAGCGUUGACGAGUUUAUGUAUGGCAUGGCAGCCGGCCAGUAUAGCUUAACCUAAUCCUAUAAUGUUACUCACAAAUCGGCACUCUACUCUUAGAAUUUCUAUAUAGGAAUGAUUUUAAAUAAGAUAAAGAACUUCGGUUCUUCAUGGACUUUGAACCUAUCUUUCAAGUUUUAUUGAGAUGCUUCCCAACUAUGCAAUCAAAGCAUUAAAUAGGUUUGAGAAUUGACAAUGAAACCAGUGAACGGAGUUGAAAAAAAUGUGGAUUUUGGUUAUAAAAUAAAAAUAAAUAAAAUAUAUUAGUUACAUUUAUUAGCGAAAGCUGCAAAUUUUAUGGUACAUACCUAUAUCAGUGGCGGAUUUGUCUCCAUUUCGUAUCCCAAAGAAAUGGAAAUUCUUAUUGACUGCUUGAUAGAUAGAUUCAAAGGCGUUUUGGCCUGAUCACUGGCAGUGCCAUUGGAAGCAAAGCCAAAAGUCAAAAGACAACAAGUUACCGACUACUGCAUUAGAAUCGUUGAAGAACUGCGUUGUAAUUCAUAGUUUUCUUCGAUAAUCUUCUCAUUUCCUAUGACGAAUGCGAGAGCUGAACGUUCUUUUUUAACACUGCGCAGCAUUAAAACAUGGCUGUGGACAAACAUGCUUCAAGAUAGAUUGAUCGGCCUAGCGUUGCGGUCACUGCUGAAGAAGUUCUCGAAGGAUUCUCAAAACUUGGCCCACAUUGCCCAGCUCACGCACGGACCAGCGUCGAUUAGUGAACACAACGACAGAAAAAUUCAACUUCUAUGUACGAAAGAUCCACAUUCAGAAGGGAAAAGAUUUUACUUUUCUGAACAUAAAAAUUGAUAUGGUCCCAUCGGAGGAAAUAAAUUGAGAAAUACUUUAUUCAGUGAUAAAGUAAAAAUUAAUAUUUACGGAAAUGAUUGUAAGUUAUUUGUCUGCCUGCCUAAAAGUAAAUAAUUUGAUGUAGAUACACCACAAAGGCAAUUAAAGAAGUGGAAAUAUAUUGUUUGGGAAUGCUCUCCUGGCAA